rnacentral:lncRNA from 1 species
CUGAACCCACUGGAAAUUUCGUUGUAGUUCUCACACCACUAACCCUACAGAUCCGAGCGCGAGAGGGGCGGCGGAGGAUCGAGGCAAGAGUGGCCACCGGAGUUAUGCAUUUUAGUCAUUCCCUUUUUGGUUCAUGUAUCAACUUUCUUUUGUUGGUUAGAAUUAUAAAGUUGUAAACAAUAAUGUAUUUUGGGAGAAUGAUUAAGAUGUAAAAGAAUUUAUGAAUGAAAGUAAAGAGAAUGUAAUAGUUUUAGUUUACUGUAUUUGGUUUAAAUGUAAUCAAAUAUUAUGUAUGGUUUUAUGUUUUAGCUUAGAGUUUUCGCUUCUAUUGUUGCUUGCCCUCGUGCAAGCCUUAUAUAAUUGCAAAUCUCUUUAUUUGAUUGCUUAAUUAUAC